rnacentral:rRNA from 1 species
GACGAACGCUGGCGGCGUGCUUAACACAUGCAAGUCGAACGGUAAGGCUCCAGCUUGCUGGGGUACACGAGUGGCGAACGGGUGAGUAACACGUGGGUGACCUGCCCUGCACUUCGGGAUAAGCCUGGGAAACUGGGUCUAAUACCGGAUAGGACUGCACCGUGAGGGUGUGGUGGAAAGUUUUUUCGGUGUGGGAUGGGCCCGCGGCCUAUCAGCUUGUUGGUGGGGUAAUGGCCUACCAAGGCGGCGACGGGUAGCCGGCCUGAGAGGGUGGACGGCCACAUUGGGACUGAGACACGGCCCAGACUCCUACGGGAGGCAGCAGUGGGGAAUAUUGCACAAUGGGCGGAAGCCUGAUGCAGCGACGCCGCGUGGGGGAUGACGGCCUUCGGGUUGUAAACUCCCUUCACCAUCGACGAAGGGUUUCUGACGGUAGAUGGAGAAGAAGCACCGGCUAACUACGUGCCAGCAGCCGCGGUAAUACGUAGGGUGCGAGCGUUGUCCGGAAUUACUGGGCGUAAAGAGCUCGUAGGUGGUUUGUCGCGUCGUCUGUGAAAUUCCGGGGCUUAACUCCGGGCGUGCAGGCGAUACGGGCAUAACUUGAGUACUGUAGGGGAGACUGGAAUUCCUGGUGUAGCGGUGAAAUGCGCAGAUAUCAGGAGGAACACCGGUGGCGAAGGCGGGUCUCUGGGCAGUAACUGACGCUGAGGAGCGAAAGCAUGGGGAGCGAACAGGAUUAGAUACCCUGGUAGUCCAUGCCGUAAACGGUGGGCGCUAGGUGUGGGUUUCCUUCCACGGGAUCCGUGCCGUAGCUAACGCAUUAAGCGCCCCGCCUGGGGAGUACGGCCGCAAGGCUAAAACUCAAAGGAAUUGACGGGGGCCCGCACAAGCGGCGGAGCAUGUGGAUUAAUUCGAUGCAACGCGAAGAACCUUACCUGGGCUUGACAUAUACAGGAUCGCGCCAGAGAUGGUGUUUCCCUUGUGGCUUGUAUACAGGUGGUGCAUGGUUGUCGUCAGCUCGUGUCGUGAGGUGUUGGGUUAAGUCCCGCAACGAGCGCAACCCUUGUCUUAUGUUGCCAGCACGUUGUGGUGGGGACUCGUAAGAAACUGCCGGGGUUAACUCGGAGGAAGGUGGGGAUGACGUCAAAUCAUCAUGCCCCUUAUGUCCAGGGCUUCACACAUGCUACAAUGGUCGGUACAGUGGGUUGCCAGUCCGUGAGGGCGAGCUAAUCCCGCAAAGCCGGUCUCAGUUCGGAUCGGGGUCUGCAACUCGACCCCGUGAAGUCGGAGUCGCUAGUAAUCGCAGAUCAGCAACGCUGCGGUGAAUACGUUCCCGGGCCU